GGGUGUGACCCAGGGGCAUUCUUGCACUCAAGAGAUCCUGUGCCUCACCCCGCCCCCCAUCAGAUCAAUGGAUCAACUGUAACUGUGAUGUACCUGACCACCGUUCUCCAUACCUGCUCUCAGAAUCCAUGGCAAAAACAGGGGUCAGCCCCCUCUCCAGCUGAACUAGGUCACCUGAGGACACAGUUUCCAGGGAAAACAUCUGAGUGAGCCUCUCCAGUCCAUCUCAGCCUUGCUGGGGUCUAAAGCUCAUGGCAGCCCGAGACCCCAUAGCCACCAGUGCAGAAGACCAAGCCCACUGUCUCCAUCAACCUGAAGCCUGUCCAGAGCUCAGCAGGGUGAGUCUCCUGACCCUAACUUCCCAUCGACAGCAGUCUGGAAGCCCAAAUCCUACUCAAUGACCAGCACACAGUAGGUACUUAAGAUCAGCAGAGAAGUAACAAGGAAUCCGCUAGUUCAGCCUCCAAAGCAGAGCCUCCAUGUGUAGGGGCAGAAGAAAGGGACCUCAUUUUUUGUCCUUUGUGCAAAUUAACAAUGAUGGCUCUACAGGGCAAGAGACAUUGCUUAUGACAACUGAGGCUCAACUUCAAGCUCACCCCCCACAAGAAGGUGCCACUGAGAUGCUCCGGUAGGAGCCUGUCCUUCAAGGGAGAGCAUGCCAGCCAAUCACACAGCGCUCAUCUAAGCCCUCCUUGAGAACUGCACAUGGCUAUGCCACACGGAGAAGGCCUUUACCACUGUAACCAGAUCAAUCAAUGCAAACAGACCUGCCUCCAGACAGCACUCUGGCCCUA
rnacentral:lncRNA from 1 species